rnacentral:lncRNA from 1 species
GUUCUGUCCUGCUCAAAACAAAAUAGAAGGGGCAAUCUUCCCUACUUCUUAAGGCCUGUCCUUCCUAUCACUAAAUUUAGUAUAUUAUCUUUAUUAAAACCCUACUUAAAAGCACCUAUGAAGUUUUCUCCCAUGCAAAACGUAAUUCUCAUUACUCUAUUGGCUGCAUUAGUUUGUCAGAUUUUCAAAAAGAGACCAACUCCCAAGAGGUAAAAGGGGUAAGAAAUAGGAAGUUGUUGAUAGGAAAGGACGCCUGAAAAGGGAAGAACAGAACUGGAGGCAAAACUCAGUCUACUUUUGACUAAAGCGUGCCUCAACUUUUGCAUAGCAAAUGUGGUGAGUAAAAUAUGCAUAUGGAAGUACCAGAGCAAUGGCUUCCUACAGGAUGCCCUGAUAAGAGGUAGAAGUUACUCACCUGAAAUAGACUGCCAAAUGUUUUUGAGCAAAGAUGAGUUUUUCAGGAGCAGUAGAGAAUUGCAGCGCAGGGUCUGCAACCAUGUUAAGCCUUAGGCAGGUUCUUGCAGGGCUAGGGAAGGAGAACUCUUUCAUGGAGAGGAAAAGGAAGGUGGGGGGCGGUGUGCUGUAGUAAACGGAGAGUCCAUAGUUCUUCAUUACCAUGAGUCCUUGCCGGGAAAGAAGACUCUUUCUUCUUCCUGUUGGACUCUGCUGUCAUUGCAGGACAUAGGAUCUCUCCCUUCUGGUUUCCCAACUGUAUUUAAAUGAGGUUUCUGUUUAUUAAUUUUUACAGAUUAAAACUUAAGAAUCUCUGGGGCUCAAGAUGAUUCUUAGUUUCCAAAGAAAGCAGUCUUUGUGUUGUACUCACCUUACAAGUGAGAACUUAUAAAUUAAUGAACUGCAAAAGCAUCAAAGAUUAAAAGAAAAUAUGUACUUCCUAUCUUGGAGCGGGCUUCCUUUACAAUGCUUUACAACUCCUCCUUCAGGCGUUUCCUGGUGGCCUAGCUGUUAAGAACUCAGUGUUGUCACUGCUGUGGCUUAGGUUCAGUCCCUGGCAUGGGAAAUUCCACAUGUUGUAGGUGCAGCCAAAAAAGGUCAGUGCUAGAAGGGAACCCUACAGUAAUGAAAUGUUUUACUUGUGGAAACAUAAGAAACAACACGAACACAGAACUGCCUGUACUUCCUACACCAGGGUGGAACAGACUCCACUUGCAGCAGAUUCCAGAUUAAAAUACUAGAACAGACCACUGAAGACCAAACACCCUUGAGGGAGAAACAAAGUGGCGAUAGAGGAAGCUGGAAAUUGAGAAAUAAUAGGCUAACCAGCAAAAAGUUAUUAUAUUAAAUAAAAUCGCUUUGCCAGACACACAAUAGCUUCUAAUAUGGUUCCUGAGGGCAACUGUUAACUGAAAAUUUAUUUAUAAGGGCACACUUACGGUUUUGAAAAUGACUUUUAAAAAAAGCUAUGACUAACUGCCUGAAAAGAACACUCUUCAAUAGCAACUGAUGGUGACAAUACUUAUUGCCAACAGCAAACCCAUGUAUUUUCAUUUUCUAGGACUACCAUAAAGACUACGAACUGGGUGGUUUAAAACAACAGAAAUUUAUUCUCUCACAAUCUGGUGGCUAGAAAUCCACAAUCAAGGAGUCAGCAGAGCUAUGCUCUAAGACUCUGAGUAGAAGCAUUUCUUGCCUCUUUCUAGCUUCUGGUGGAAGCCAUAAGUCCCGGGUGUUCCUUGGUUUAACUGCACCACUCCAGUCUCUGCCUCUAUCAACCACAUGCUGUUCACCCUGUGUGUCUCUCUUCUCAUGAUGUUUUCCUUUUCUUCCAAAGACAACAAUCAUACUGGAUUGGUGGUACCCACCCUAAUUACUUUACCUUAGCUUAAUUACAUCUACAAAGUCCUUAUUUCCAAAGUCACAUUUACAAGUGCUGGGGUUAGGACUUCCACAUAUUUUUUUGAGCAACACAAUUCAACCUAUAAGACCCGGGUACUUUCCCAAGAUCAAGCUCCCAUUGAUAAUCUAAAAUAGGUUAAUCCCUAAAAUAAGAUUGUCCCAAGCUCUAAAAUAAAUUUGUUUCAAACUCACAACUUCCACAUGAAAACUGAUGUUUGUCUUUUACCAUAACCAAUAUUCAUCUGGUAAUCUUCUCUCUUCCAUUUCUAAAGUAACUUUACCUUUGAUUUAUACAUCAUAUAAAUAGGUAAACACUUUAUAUCUUCAUGCUUCUUUUGUUCCAUCUAUAUGUCCCUUACAUGUAUGUCUGUUCUUGAUUGUGAGCUCCCAGAAGGCAGUGACUAAAAAUACUUACUUCCCUCUUUCUGACUAAGCUCCUUAGAGGGAUUCCUAUAGCAGAGUUCUUUGAAACCCUAAAGAAAUAAUUCAUACAUAGCAGCCUGGUGGGGUUGAUGCUAUGUCAGGGUUUGUUCUCAUGAAGCCACACAUUAUAUUUGGAACAUUUUUUUUACCUUUCUAGCCUGGACUUUGACCUUAGUGACCUCAGCUAACAGACUCCCUACUCUCUUGUAAAGAUUUUUAUUUCAGAGAUCUCAUUGCUCUCCCUUUAAUCUGGUUUCCCUAAAUCCACCCUCCUCCCCACCCCGUGAGUACAUCAAACAUUAAACACCAAAUAUGACCAUAAGCCAAGUUCUCCCCACCAACAGUCCUGAGACCCAGACAAAUUAAGAGAUAGAGCUGAAAAUCUGUUUAAGUGGUCUGAGAGUAUUUUCUUCACUGUCAUCAUUAUCAUAAUCAUCUCUGUCAUCAUUAACAUUUGUUAAGUCCUUGACAGGUAUUUUCUCAUUAAAAGCCCUAUAAGGCAGGUCCUUUAUCAUCCUAAUUUAGCUGGUGGAUAAGGAAAACUGAGGUACAAAGACAUUAAGUAACUCACCCAAGGUCAUGCUGCUAAGUGAUGGAGCACAGGAUGUCACGGUCUCCAAGGAAGUUUAUCUGUUUGAGGACACAGAAGACUCCAGGAGACUCUAACCUGACUUUUCACAUGCAACUAACUGGUCGCUGGGGCCCAGGUAAGUUGCCAUGUUACAAAGAAGUUACAUGGAGAGGAAAAAAAGCUAAGUAGUGCGGUGUCGGCUCCUGGUUAAGCAAGGAAACUGUGUUUCUGCAGAAGUUCAGAGAAGAAGAAGUAUGAGGGACCACAAAUGGCUCUCUGAGAACAUGCUUAUCCUUCAAACAACUCCAGUUUGCUCUUCACCUAAUUAGAUGAGCUUUUGCCUCUUUGUUUUUACUUCACUUUAUUUCUAAGGAAUAAUUUAGAUAAUUUUACUAAAAAUGUCAAGAGUAAGCCAAUACAUAAUGAGGAAAAAAGUGGGGAAAGAGUGAAAAUAGAAAUACUAAGUUUGAAAUAAUAACAUUAGUGCUAGAAAAAAUGGAAAGGAGAGGAGAAGAGAUAAAAAUAGAUUUUUAAAAAUCUUUAUAAAAUCCCAUAGAUUGGUUUCUCCUAUGCAAAAAUGUAUUCUCAUUACUAUGCUGGCUGUGUUAGUUUGUCAGAUUUACAGGAAAUAAACAAUGGCAUAUAGAUUCCAAACAUGUAAACCAAACAGUUUUAUGUUGCAAGCAUAAUAUAAGAUUACAGAUUUAUGUACUGCCCUGCAUUCUCUUUGGAAGAGGAAAAUAUUGAUUAGUGUUUGGUAUUUUGUUAUCAAGGACAUAGAUUCUGAAUGUAAUUUUUGUAAGUCAGUAAUUUAAAGUGUAUCUCAAUCGGCCCUCAUUCGGGAUAGUAGGGCUACUUUUCCUUUCUAUUUGAAUAGAAAAUAAUACACAGUUUACUGACACAUGGCUUCUUUUUCAAAAUCCCUUUAUGUGAGAUAAUGUUAAAAAUACUGUUUGCUCCAUAAAGUCAAGAGGGGUGAAGCAAAUACCAUUCCAUAACCCUUACUAAAAAUUUCAUUUCACAUGCAAUUUUUUGCUUUGCUAAUUGGUUGUCCUUUCUUCUUUUCUUUCCUUCUUUUCCAAGAAAUUUAUUUAUACAAUGAGUUCAAAGAGUCACAAAAUAGAAGAGCUUUUGAAAAUACCACGACCAAGAGCUGUCUCGAUGCAAUCUUGUCAAGUAAGAAGUCUGACUUUGGUCCUUCAUGCUUUUCACCUUUACUUCACCCUCUCUGGUUUUUUAAUGAAUUUCUCAUCCAAUCUCUUGUUAUGCAUAUAUGUUUAUAUAAUUAAGGUAUUUGAAUUGUUUAAGUGGACUCUGCUAGAGGCAACACCAAACCUAAAAAAAUAAAUAUUGAGGAUGUAUAAAUGGUCAGAAUGAUCAAGGAGAUCUUUUUGAAGAGUGGCAUCUUUUGGUGGUCCUCUAAUCCUGCCAUGAAGCAUUGUGCUCCAUUCCAGGGCCUGAUUUGAUUGUUCCCUUGACUUCAGGCAGGACAAAGUUAAACUCAUAGUAUAUAUGACUAGCAAUAAGUGGGCCUACCAUCCAUGUAUCUAACCAUGAUAAUAGUAUUUUUCUAAAUCAUUAUGUUACAUGUUCAAAACUUGCAGAGAAAUCUACAAAUUACAAAUGCUAGAGAGAGUGUAGAGAAAAGGGAACCCUUCUAUACUGAUGGUGGGAAUGUAAAUUUGUACAGCCGCUAGGGAAAACAGUAUAGAGAUUCCUUUAAAAACUAUCUAUAGGACUAUUACAUGAUCCAGCAAUCCUAUUCCUGGGCAUAUAUCCAGACAAAACUACAAUUCAAAAAAGAUACAUGCACCCAUAUGUUCAUAGCAGCACUAUUCACAAUAGCCAAGAUAUGGAAGCAACCUAAAUGUCCAUCAACAGGAGAAUGGAUUAAGAUGUGGUACAGAGUUCCCAUCAUGGCUCAGCAGAAACAAAUCUGACUAGCAUUCAUGAGAACUCAGGUUUCAUCCUUGGCCUCACUCAGUGGGUUUAGGAUCCAGCAUUGCUGCAAGCUGUGGUGUGGUUUGCAGACACAGCUGGGAUCUGAUGUUGCUGUGGCUAUGGCAUAGGCCAGUGGCUACAGCUCUGAUUUGACCCCUAGUCUGGGAACCU